rnacentral:rRNA from 1 species
AGCGAACGCUGGCGGCAGGCUUAACACAUGCAAGUCGAACGGGCGUAGCAAUACGUCAGUGGCAGACGGGUGAGUAACGCGUGGGAACAUACCUCUUGGUUCGGAACAACACAGGGAAACUUGUGCUAAUACCGGAUAAGCCCUUACGGGGAAAGAUUUAUCGCCGAGAGAUUGGCCCGCGUCUGAUUAGCUAGUUGGUGGGGUAAAGGCCGUACCAAGGCGACGAUCAGUAGCUGGUCUGAGAGGAUGAUCAGCCACAUUGGGACUGAGACACGGCCCAAACUCCUACGGGAGGCAGCAGUGGGGAAUAUUGGACAAUGGGCGGCAAGCCUGAUCCAGCCAUGCCGCGUGAGUGAUGAAGG